AAGGUUUGCAAUAGAACUGUCAAUGCUAUUCUUCUGCAUACUCUGCUACACACUGCUCCUGGUCUCCUUUUCUGAUUCAGCAGUCUUAUAUCUUGAUAACUCAUGCUUCUUGUUGUUUGGACUGAAUGAAAUCAGUAUUCCUAGUUCAAUAUUAUUUUACAAUGGGGUACAAUCUCAAUGAGAGACCUCGCAAGCAGGAUGUUAUUGUGUAAGUUAUUGCAGGUUCUUUGAAGCAUAUUGGCUCCAAAUUUUGUUUUGAGCACUGUUCAAAAGGGGAGUUCUCUCUCUCUCUCCGUAAUGUUUAAUGAGGAUAUUUUUAUCUUCCAGGUCUUUCAAUUAGGUGCCAAUUUUGUUUUUCUUAUUACGCGUUGACACUCUAUGCUUCCAUGGCUUGCCUUUGGUUAGUAGAGAUUAAUAGUCCAUAGAAUAAAGAAAUUAUGGCUCUUCAUCUGCAUAUUUCUGAUCUUAUGCCAUCUUCCAUAGUGAAAACUUAUUUGUUUAAAUUUGUUAUUGGGUUUAAUUUAUCUGUCAAUCAUCCUUAAAAGUGAACCAUUUGCAUAAUUUGUGAUACCUUCUGAGGUCUCUUAUCUAAUCAUUUCUGUUUCAGUUUGAAAUCACAGAGCAGCAGCUAAGGUUUGCACAUAACAGUCCAACAAGUUCAUAUGCACAUAAAGAGAUUUGAGUUCUGACUUUCAUAUGGUGUUCUUAGCUUAUUAGUUAAGACACCUUGAUGAAGGUUAAAAUUUUUUUUCCCAAUAUCAAUGUUGUCAUUAAUUACCUAAAAACUGCAGGAUAUUAUAAGCAUUUACAAAAGGAGAGGUGGAAGUGAUAAUAGAAACCUAUCUCAUAAUGACUGGUUACAAACAGUUCAGUCAGAGCCUGAUGUGAUCUCAAUGUCCUUUAUCCCAAUUGCUUCUCUAUUGAAUGGAGUCCCGGGUAGUGGAUUUCUGAGCCAUGUCAUAAAUCUGUAUUUGCGAUGUAAGCAAGACCUAUUUUUUUGUGUACCUAAGCAUUUGGUUUUCUGCUACUAAUUAGAUCAAACUAUUGUAUCUUAUUUUUUAAAACAUAGAAUUCAUUUAUUAUUUUCUGGAAGAAGUAUGCCUCUGAUUUUUGUUUUUGGAAUUUAUUUUAAAUUUUAAAUGUAAAAUACCAUAAAUUCGCUAACCAUCUUAUUGUUAUGAAAUCCUAAGGUAAUCAAACACAAGAGUUAUGAGCUUAUUUUGGUUGAAACUUUUGUUAAAUAACCAUUAGUUGUCAGUAAGGACCACAGUGCAUCAACUUAAUCCUCAACUAGAUGUGUCAUGAAGCAAUGAGAACAAAUUUUUGGCCUGCGAUGGCUCUUCUGAUUGACUUCUUUUUCCUUCAUUUGCUUACUGCUGCAAAUAAUACUUCUUUGUUAUUAUAGCAAACAGUCUACACAUGUUUCAUCCAUAAGCUAUUGCUCUUACAGAUAAACCACCAAUUGAAGAACUCCACCAGUUUUUGGAGUUUCAGCUUCCAAGGCAGUGGGCACCAGUUUUUAGUGAACUUCCUCUUGGUCCACAACGAAAGCAACAAAGCACUGCAUCUUUGCAAUUCAGCUUCAUGGGGCCUAAGCUUUUUGUGAACACUACAACGGUAAAGGAUUUUCUCACAUUGAAAUUUUUCUGACUUUUUUUGUUGUAUGCACAGAGUGUUUUACCAUGUAGGUUUCAUCCAUGUAUGUGAGUAGUUCUUAUUGCCCUUUGGCUAGAUAAACUUCAUAACAUGUUGGUGUACUGGUGUUCGAUUUAUAGAUGAUCGUAGAACCUCUAAAGCAUUUUAAAUUAAAAAAUUUUAUGCCAUGAUGAUUGCAUGUCACAAAGGAAAUAGCAUUUUGUAAUUAGAUAAGAUUUAAUUAUCUGUAGUUAUAUCAAAGAAAAUGCUGCUAGGGAACUCACAUCCGUGGUAAUUUAUCUAAGACUUCAUCUUCUUUAGGUCUCCCAAAGAGAGAACAGUGCAACUUUGUGACAUAGUGUGGAUAUAAAGUUGCAAACUGAUGUUAACUCUCGCAUCAUUGAAGUGGCAGCCUUUUUGGUGGAGUCUUAUACUUUGUUCAUAUCAAAGAAAGGAGCUAUAGCUAAUUUCUAGUUAUAUAACUUCAUGACAGGUUGAUGCGGGUAAAAGGCCAGUGACUGGCCUCCGACUUUAUCUACAAGGGAAUAGGAAAAACCGCUUAUCCAUCCACUUGCAGCACCUUUCCUCCCUCCCAAAAAUCUUCCAACUUGCAGAUGAUCCAAAUGGGAACUUCUGCCAAAAGUCUCAUGAUCAUAAAUACUACGAGAGAGUUUAUUGGAAGAACUACUCUCACGUAUGUGUUGCUCCUGUUGAGUCUGUGGGGGAUCUUUCCAUAGUAACUGGAGCCCAAUUGCAGGUUGAGAAUCAUGGUUCUAAAGAUAUUCUCUUCUUACGGCUACGCUUCUCAACUGUCUUGGGAGCUAUGGUUGCUAAGCAUCCAGAAUGGGAUGGAUCACCUGGGUUGGCACCCAAGGCAGGACUCUUAUCCAUAUUAAGCAGUUCUCUCGUCUCAGACAUAUCAUUUAAGGAGCCACCUCCAAGGCUAGCUGAUGUAAGUAUAAACUCUGCUAUUUAUCCUGGAGGCCCACCUGAGCCUGUACAAGGCCCCAAGCUUUUGAAAUUUGUUGAUACAACAGAGAUGACAAGAGGGCCGGAAGAAAUUCCUGGAUAUUGGGUCGUUUCUGGGGCAAGGUUAGUUGUUGAGCAGGGAAAGAUCUCUCUCCAGGUUAAGUAUUCUUUAUUGACUGUAAUAAUGCCUGAUGAAGAAGCAAUAGAGGAGCACUAGCCGAUUUCUGUCACCACAUAUUUAGCUUUCCUGUUUCUCUUUGCCCAGCAUGGAAACAAAUAUAAGUAGGAAACAGUUGCUGAAGAUCAGAGAAUCCAACAAAAGAGAGAGAAAGGAGUAGGAAUGGUUUACACUGAGGGGAUAGGUUUGGGUGUGUUGGUGGUGGCUGGCUGGCUGGCUGUUUCAUUGUAUUCAUUACACAUUUUUUCUUGCAAUAUAAUUUCUUUUUUCUUUGUUUCUAAUAUGCAAUGAGCUUUUUGGUUAUAAGGUAUCCCCUGCUCUGUUUGAUGCUCUAUUUGCAAGGGCUUGUUUUCUUUGUAUGUAAUAUGCUUUUCAUAUGAUAGCUGUAUACACAACAAAUAGCUGUAUGCUUUACAUUGAUUAACUCAGCUCUUCAAAACAUAAUCAGGUUACAUCAACAUAUCCCAUUCUUUCAGUUGAAAUUUUUGUUCUUCUUUCUGGGUCAUGCACCUAUUUUUCAUUAUUUAAAAAAAAAAAAAGAACUAUGAACUCUGUAGUUCAAAGUUCAUGCAAUUCAAUAUGGAAUUAUGGGCUUGAUUACUAUUAUUUACACUGAAAAACCACUAUAAAUGGAGGAGAAUUGAUGAAUUUUUGUAGCUAUAAGACAAAGCUUGAGAAAUUAUGGGCUUGUGGGUCUCUCUUUCCAUCAUAAAAUUCCUCCAAGCCUAUUUGUGCAAUUAAUUUCUUGCCUAAUCAAGAGGCCAAACAUUCCAUUUAAGACCACAGAUUUGUAGUAAUUGAAACCACUACAACUUUUAUUUUUAGUUUAAGAAUUAAAACUAAUCAUUCCUCUAACGAUUUUGAUUGUCAUAAUAUUACAUAAUUACAACAAUAACCCAUCAUUAAUCAAAUACUAAUUUGCAAUUUAUUUUUAAGCCAAUUAUGAACUUCCUUUCGGUUUAUAAAAAUGGAAACGUUGACCACAAUCAAGUUGAAACAUGCCACUAUAAUUUACUUCAUAGCUUUAAAUAGAAGUAGUACUAUUUGCUGUCAUGAUGCGUUAUACUUGUGGUUAUUUAAAGUAUGUGUUAUGCUUGAUAAAUUAUUAUUAAAAUAAUUAGAUAUUUAAAUAUUAAUAAAUAAAUAAAUAUAAAAUUAAAUAUAUUCAAUUAAAUAGAUUAAAAUUUUAAAUACGUACAUGAUUACGAUUAUUACACAUUUUACACAUAUAAACAUGAUUAUGUCAUUUUAAUUUAAACCUGUCAUACGAAAGUUAAACAAUUAUGAUAUUUCUUAAGAUUUGAUAAUUUCGUAUCUUAAAUAUGUUGACGGUUUAAAACAUUAUGGAUGAUUUUAAAUUUAAAUUUAAAUCUUUAAUUAUGGUAAGAUAAUUAAAAUUAAGAAACUUGAUAGAGCAAAGAUUGGCGGUGGAGAAAAGUAGAGCAGCAGGCAGUGAAGUUAGAAGAACCUCAACGUUGAAAGCUCCACUUUGACUCUCUGUUCCUCUAUACCCCCAUAGAACUCCCAGUUAAGAGUACGAGUGUCACAUGUCAAUAGAAUCUUUCAUUUCAGUCAAACCCAUUUUUACUACUUUGUCUCUCUCAACGCUACCCUUUCUUAGGGUUUCUCUUUCUCUCUCUCUCUCUCUCUCUUUCUCUCUUAAUUAUUUUAAUUUUUUUUCACCGCUCUCUAAGUUUCUCCAUCAAAGACCCAAUCUUUCGUUUUUUUUAAAGUUUGGGUUUUGUUCUUGGAAUUUUCCCAACGUGGAAAUCUCGCUGUUUGGGGGGGGGGGGGGGGGGCGGGGGGGGAAAGCCUCGAAAUCGAACAAAGGGAUUGACAUUCUGGGGCUUCAAAUUGCGUGAGCUUCGCUUCGAUUGGUUUUUUUGAGCAUAAAAUCUGCUCAAAAAACCCCCACCAAAGAUUUCCACUUUAGUUCUUGGACUGCGUAAAAUGUACGACUAUUUUUUUCUUUGACUAGUCUAAGCUAACUUUCUUUGCUUUUUAGCCUGUUUGCAGUUUUUGGAUCUAGGUUUUUUUUCAUGAAUUUAGGGAUAUUUUGGUGAAUUUGAACUAUAUUUGGGUUUUGAAUGUUAAUUUGUGAAAAUUGUUUGAUUUUCUUGCUAAUUUGAGCUAGAUUGGUUUGAGUUUGCUUGCUUCUGGAAAAAAAUAUGAAAUUUGCUCUCAUUUGAUAUGAAUAUGAAUAUUUGAGUUAUUUAUAGACUUCUGAUCUGCUCAGUUCAGUAAAAUAUGCUUUUUUUAAACAAAAAAUUGUUUAUGAUGGUCUUUCCCCAGCUUUGACAAGUUGAGCUAUUUGUAGAAUUUGGAUUAGGUUUAUUUAUGGAAAUGAUUGAAAACUGUUGCUUGACAUGGACUGAAGUUUGUUUAUUUUGAAUAAUUUGAUCACGUGCAGAAUUUGGUUCCAAUUUUUGGUGAGAAAGAGUGAUGCGCUGAGCAAUGGCGCUUAGGAUGCCAGCUCCAAAGGCGGCUGAGAUUGCCAUUGGGUCCAUUGGAUGUGGGUAUGAUAUCGGAAUGGAUCUUAGGCUGAAGUACUGUAAAGGGGAUUCAAAAAAUUCAUGUCUUAUUGAGAUUGAUAAAGACGGAGGCCGUGAGAUUGUUUUGCCUGGUGGAAUUUCAAUACCUAACGUGUCCAAAUCAAUAAAGUGCGAUAAAGGGGAGCGCACACGAUUCAGGUCUGAUGUCCUCUCCUUCCAACAGGUAAUAGUUUAUUGUAUGUUCAAUGCUAUCUGAUCAAUAUAUUUGGCUUCUACGGUUUUUUUUCCUCACAAAGUAGUCUGUUCAAACUGAAAAACUACAUGCUACCUGCGAAGUAGCUGUCUAGGUGAUAUUAUUGAUGUCCAUAUAUGUACUGGUAUUUGGAUGGUUGUCGCAUGCGUCAAAUCCUGUGAAAGGUAUAUGACAAAUGCUAUUCAUGUUUGGGAUUUGAUUGUUUUUUUUUUUUUGUGUUUGUCUUGAGAGUGUGCUCUUUCUCAUUAUUUUCUUCUAUUUUCUCCAGAUGUCAGAGCAGUUCAACCAAGAAAUAUCUUUGACUGGAAAAAUACCUUCAGGCCUCUUCAAUUCCAUGUUUGAGUUCUCUGGUUGUUGGCAAAAAGAUGCUGCCAACACUAAGAUGCUUGCUUUUGAUGGAGUGUUCAUAACCCUCUACUCAGUUGCACUGGAGAAAUCUCAGAUGGUGCUACGAGAUCAUGUCAAGAAGGCAGUCCCAUCUACAUGGGAACCUGCAGCAUUGGCAAGGUGAAUUUCUGCAUAAAUUUGGUCUUUGUAUUCUGGUGAUGGAGUCCUUAAAUAACACCCUGGCAUCUAGGAGGCAUUUUCUUGCUUACUUAACAAAUUGUGCCUCAGCCCUUGCUCAUUUCUCUCUCCCUCUCUGUGAAUUCUGCCAUCACAUGGAGUCUAAUCCAAUGAUCAACUUUUUAAUAAUUUUCUUAUACUGGUUCAGCAUGUAUAUUCUUGAUGAAAAUAAGUAGAAUGCUGUAGUGUUGGUUGGUUAUAAAUCUUCUGAUGCCCACUGCCUGUUUUAUUUAAAGUUCAUUACUUUCUGCUGUAUAAUAUUUGACGUCUGUUAUAUGAUAUUGAUGACAUCGCAGGUUUAUUGACACUUAUGGCACCCAUAUUAUUGUUGGUGUGAAGAUGGGAGGGAAGGAUGUUAUUUACAUAAAACAGCAUCAUUCCUCAAAUCUUCAACCUGCUGAUAUCCAGAAAAGAUUGAAGGAUAUGGCUGAUAAGAGGUUUUUAGAUGCCAAUGGACAUUAUAGCAUGGCGUCUGAGCAAGAUUUCCAGAGUGACAAGGUUUGCAAUAGAACUGUCAAUGCUAUUCUUCAAAUCCAUAGUUGUAUAUCUUGAUAAAUCUCAUUUCUUGGAUGGAAUGAAAUCAAUAUUCCUAGUUCAAUAUUCUUUUACAAUGGGGUACAAUCUUCAUGAGAGACUUGGCAAGCAGGAUUUUAUUGCACAAGUUGAUGCAGGUUCUUUGAAGCAUAUUAGCUUCAAAUUUUGUUUUGAAAACUGUUCAAAAGGAGAGUUCUCACACUCUCUCUCUUAACUUACUGUUUAAUGAGCAUAGUCUUAUCUUGUAAGUCUUUCAAUUAGGUUGGCAAUUUUGUUUUUGGUAUAUUACUUUGACAGUCUAUGCUUUAAAUGUUUGCCUAGGUUAGUAGAGAUUAAUAAUCUGCAGAAUAAAGAAAUUGUGGCUCUUCAUCUGCAUAUUUCUGAUCUGCUGCCAUCUUUGACAGUGAAACUUAUAUGUUUAAAUUUGUUAUUGGGUUUAAUAUGUUCUGUCAAUCAUCCUUAUUAGUGAACCAUUAGCAUUAUUUGUGAUAUCUUCUGAGGUAUCUUAUCUAAUCAUUUCUGUUUCAGUUUGAAAUCAGGGAGCAGCGGCUAAGGUUUGCACAUAACAGUCCAUCAAGUUCAUAUGCACGUAAAGAGGUUUGUGUUCUGACUUUCGUAUGGUGUUUUUAGCUUACUAGUUAAGGUCCCUUGAUAAAGUGUUAAAUUCUUUUCCCAAUAUCAGUGUUGUUAUUAAUUACCUAAAAAUUGCAGGAUAUUAUAAGCAUUUACAAAAGGAGAGGUGGAAGUGAUAAUAGAAACCUAUCUCAUAAUGACUGGUUACAAACAGUUCAGUCAGAGCCUGAUGUGAUCUCAAUGUCCUUUAUCCCAAUUACUUCUCUAUUGAAUGGAGUCCCGGGUAGUGGAUUUCUGAGCCAUGCAAUAAAUCUGUAUUUGCGAUGUAAGCA
rnacentral:lncRNA from 1 species